CCUUACAGGAAGUGGCCUGUCUGACCAUUUCUUGCCCUCCUUGAUCAUCUCUAACAAAUACAGGGGAUCUCUGGCAUGACGUGACACUUCCUACGGCUCCCAUGGGCUCUCAGAAGGCGGGAAAAAGCUGAACGAUGUAAUUCCAUCCCCAGGCUGAAACACAUUAGCGCGUUUGGCAAGUGCUCUAUCAGAGGGCCAUUAGACUGAGGCUCGUGCAUGAGGGGAUAGCAUGCUUUUACUUUCACUCUCUUUGUAAUAAAAAACGAUUUCCUGGUCAGAAUAUUAUCGCUUUUUUACGAGAAAAAUGGCAUAAAAAUAGAUUUUAAACAGCGGUUGACAUGCUUCGAAGAACGGUAAUGGAAUAUUUAGAAUUUUUUUGUCACGAAAUGCGCCAUGCUCGUCACCCUUCUUUACCCUUCGGAUAGUGUCUUGAACGCACGAACAAAACGCCGCUAUUUGGAUAUAACAAUGGAUUAUUUGGGACCAAACCAACAUUUGUUAUUGAAGUAGAAGUCCUGGGAGUGCAUUCUGACGAAGAACAGCAAAGGUCUUUAAGGGGUGUUAGACUCCCAAACGGGCCACCUAGAUAGUCCCAUAGGGCCCUGGUCAAAAGCAGUGAACUAUAUAGAGAACAAGGGUGCCAUUUGGGAUUCACUUCGUCUCCUGACUGUCUGUCGGUGACAAGGUGACUUUCACUCACAUUCAGAUGUUGUUCUAAUUGGAUGGAUUGUGGCAAACCAGGAACCAUUUUGUCUAUUGGAUUUUAAUUUGUUUACUGAAGACAAGAGUACUUGUAAAAAUGAUGAUUGUGCCUGAAUUAGAUUUAGACGUUUUAAAAAAUAAAUAAUUCUGAAUUAACUGUUCCCAUUUCUCUCAAGGAAUGGCCUUGAGGUUUCCGUUUGCUUCACCAAGUUGAUGUUAAACCAAAACUCAUCAGAUCUUCUAACUCACAGAGAGGAGAUGAGAGGACCACAGGACUUCUCUUCCCUCUAAUCAAGAGGAGAUGAGAGGACCACAGGACUUCCUUCUCUUCCCUCUAAUCAAGAGGAGAUGAGAGGACCACAGGACUUCCUUCUCUUCCCUCUAAUCAAGAGGAGAUGAGAGGACCACAGGACUUCACUUCCCUCUAAUCAAGAGGAGAUGAGAGGACCACAGGACUUCACUUCCCUCUAAUCAAGAGGAGAUGAGAGGACCACAGGACUUCCUUCUCUUCCCUCUAAUCAAGAGGAGAUGAGAGGACCACAGGACUUCACUUCCCUCUAAUCAAGAGGAGAUGAGAGGACCACAGGACUUCCUUCUCUUCCCUCUAAUCAAGAGGAGAUGAGAGGACCACAGGACUUCUCUUCCCUCUAAUCAAGAGGAGAUGAGAGGACCACAGGACUUCACUUCCCUCUAAUCAAGAGGAGAUGAGAGGACCACAGGACUUCUCUUCCCUCUAAUCAAGAGGAGAUGAGAGGACUACAGGACUUCACUUCCCUCUAAUCAAGAGGAGAUGAGAGGACCACAGGACUUCACUUCCCUCUAAUCAAGAGGAGAUGAGAGGACCACAGGACUUCACUUCCCUCUAAUCAAGAGGAGAUGAGAGGACCACAGGACUUCACUUCCCUCUAAUCAAGAGGAGAUGAGAGGACCACAGGACUUCACUUCCCUCUAAUCAAGAGGACAUGAGAGGACCACAGGCUUUACAGUCUCUGUACUAUCCUGUCCCGAGAGACCAGAUCUGUCUGAGGCAAUCCAUGGAAGACAAGUUCAGACUUAGGUGUGUGUGUGUGUGUGUGUGUUUGUCAUCCAGGUCACUCACCUCUAUUACUGGUCAAAGGGUUUCAAUUAUUGCUUCCUGGUUGGUUAAAAAUAGUUGGAGGGAGAGGAGAAGAGAUCUCUCUUUAACCAACCAGGAAGCCAUAAUUGAAAAAGAGAGAGGGGAAUAGAGAGAGAGAGGGGAAGAGAGGGGAAGAGAGGAGGAGAGAAGUAGAGAGAGGGAGACAGGAGGAGAGAAGUAGAGAGAGAGAUAGGGAGACAGGAUGAGAGAAGUAGAGAGAUAGAGGGAGACAGGAUGAGAGAAGUAGAGAGAUAGAGAGAGACAGGAUGAGAGAAGUAGAGCGAUAGAGAGAGACAGGAUGAGAGAAGUAGAGCGAUAGAGAGAGACAGGAUGAGAGAAGUAGAGAGAUAGAGAGAGACAGGAUGAGAGAAGUAGAGCGAUAGAGAGAGACAGGAUGAGAGAAGUAGAGCGAUAGAGAGAGACAGGAUGAGAGAAGUAGAGCG
rnacentral:lncRNA from 1 species